rnacentral:rRNA from 1 species
UACAGAGGGUGCGAGCGUUAAUCGGAAUUACUGGGCGUAAAGCGCACGUAGGCGGCUUAGCAAGUCGGAUGUGAAAUCCCUCGGCUCAACCAAGGAAGUGCAUCCGAAACUGCUGAGCUUGAGUACGAAAGAGGAUCGCGGAAUUCCCGGUGUAGAGGUGAAAUUCGUAGAUAUCGGGAGGAACACCAGUGGCGAAGGCGGCGAUCUGGGUCGAUACUGACGCUGAGGUGCGAAAGCGUGGGGAGCAAACAGG